UACGUAGGGUGCAAGCGUUAAUCGGAAUUACUGGGCGUAAAGCGUGCGCAGGCGGUUCGGAAAGAGAGGUGUGAAAUCCCAGGGCUUAACCUUGGAACUGCACUUUUAACUACCGGGCUAGAGUACAUCAGAGGGGGGUAGAAUUCCACGUGUAGCAGUGAAAUGCGUAGAGAUGUGGAGGAAUACCGAUGGCGAAGGCAGCCCCCUGGGAUGAUACUGACGCUCAUGCACGAAAGCGUGGGGAGCAAACAGG
rnacentral:rRNA from 1 species